AGUGAACGCUGGCGGUAGGCCUAACACAUGCAAGUCGAACGGCAGCACAGUAAGAGCUUGCUCUUACGGGUGGCGAGUGGCGGACGGGAGAGGAAUACAUCGGAAUCUACUUUUUCGUGGGGGAUAACGUAGGGAAACUUACGCUAAUACCGCAUACGACCUACGGGUGAAAGCAGGGGAUCUUCGGACCUUGCGCGAUUGAAUGAGCCGAUGUCGGAUUAGCUAGUUGGCGGGGUAAAGGCCCACCAAGGCGACGAUCCGUAGCUGGUCUGAGAGGAUGAUCAGCCACACUGGAACUGAGACACGGUCCAGACUCCUACGGGAGGCAGCAGUGGGGAAUAUUGGACAAUGGGCGCAAGCCUGAUCCAGCCAUACCGCGUAGGUGAAGAAGGCCUUCGGGUUGUAAAGCCCUUUUGUUGGGAAAGAAAAGCAGCAGGUUAAUACCCCGCUGUUCUGACGGUACCCAAAGAAUAAGCACCGGCUAACUUCGUG
rnacentral:rRNA from 1 species